GGUUAAGCGACUAAGCGUACACGGUGGAUGCCCUGGCAGUCAGAGGCGAUGAAGGACGUGCUAAUCUGCGAUAAGCGUCGGUAAGGUGAUAUGAACCGUUAUAACCGGCGAUUUCCGAAUGGGGAAACCCAGUGUGAUUCGUCACACUAUCAUUAACUGAAUCCAUAGGUUAAUGAGGCGAACCGGGGGAACUGAAACAUCUAAGUACCCCGAGGAAAAGAAAUCAACCGAGAUUCCCCCAGUAGCGGCGAGCGAACGGGGAGGAGCCCAGAGCCUGAAUCAGUGUGUGUGUUAGUGGAAGCGUCUGGAAAGGCGCGCGAUACAGGGUGACAGCCCCGUACACAAAAAUGCACAUGCUGUGAGCUCGAUGAGUAGGGCGGGACACGUGGUAUCCUGUCUGAAUAUGGGGGGACCAUCCUCCAAGGCUAAAUACUCCUGACUGACCGAUAGUGAACCAGUACCGUGAGGGAAAGGCGAAAAGAACCCCGGCGAGGGGAGUGAAAAAGAACCUGAAACCGUGUACGUACAAGCAGUGGGAGCACGCUUAGGCGUGUGACUGCGUACCUUUUGUAUAAUGGGUCAGCGACUUAUAUUCUGUAGCAAGGUUAACCGAAUAGGGGAGCCGAAGGGAAACCGAGUCUUAACUGGGCGUUAAGUUGCAGGGUAUAGACCCGAAACCCGGUGAUCUAGCCAUGGGCAGGUUGAAGGUUGGGUAACACUAACUGGAGGACCGAACCGACUAAUGUUGAAAAAUUAGCGGAUGACUUGUGGCUGGGGGUGAAAGGCCAAUCAAACCGGGAGAUAGCUGGUUCUCCCCGAAAGCUAUUUAGGUAGCGCCUCGUGAAUUCAUCUCCGGGGGUAGAGCACUGUUUCGGCAAGGGGGUCAUCCCGACUUACCAACCCGAUGCAAACUGCGAAUACCGGAGAAUGUUAUCACGGGAGACACACGGCGGGUGCUAACGUCCGUCGUGAAGAGGGAAACAACCCAGACCGCCAGCUAAGGUCCCAAAGUCAUGGUUAAGUGGGAAACGAUGUGGGAAGGCCCAGACAGCCAGGAUGUUGGCUUAGAAGCAGCCAUCAUUUAAAGAAAGCGUAAUAGCUCACUGGUCGAGUCGGCCUGCGCGGAAGAUGUAACGGGGCUAAACCAUGCACCGAAGCUGCGGCAGCGACACUAUGUGUUGUUGGGUAGGGGAGCGUUCUGUAAGCCUGUGAAGGUGUACUGUGAGGUAUGCUGGAGGUAUCAGAAGUGCGAAUGCUGACAUAAGUAACGAUAAAGCGGGUGAAAAGCCCGCUCGCCGGAAGACCAAGGGUUCCUGUCCAACGUUAAUCGGGGCAGGGUGAGUCGACCCCUAAGGCGAGGCCGAAAGGCGUAGUCGAUGGGAAACAGGUUAAUAUUCCUGUACUUGGUGUUACUGCGAAGGGGGGACGGAGAAGGCUAUGUUGGCCGGGCGACGGUUGUCCCGGUUUAAGCGUGUAGGCUGGUUUUCCAGGCAAAUCCGGAAAAUCAAGGCUGAGGCGUGAUGACGAGGCACUACGGUGCUGAAGCAACAAAUGCCCUGCUUCCAGGAAAAGCCUCUAAGCAUCAGGUAACAUCAAAUCGUACCCCAAACCGACACAGGUGGUCAGGUAGAGAAUACCAAGGCGCUUGAGAGAACUCGGGUGAAGGAACUAGGCAAAAUGGUGCCGUAACUUCGGGAGAAGGCACGCUGAUAUGUAGGUGAAGUCCCUCGCGGAUGGAGCUGAAAUCAGUCGAAGAUACCAGCUGGCUGCAACUGUUUAUUAAAAACACAGCACUGUGCAAACACGAAAGUGGACGUAUACGGUGUGACGCCUGCCCGGUGCCGGAAGGUUAAUUGAUGGGGUCAGCGCAAGCGAAGCUCUUGAUCGAAGCCCCGGUAAACGGCGGCCGUAACUAUAACGGUCCUAAGGUAGCGAAAUUCCUUGUCGGGUAAGUUCCGACCUGCACGAAUGGCGUAAUGAUGGCCAGGCUGUCUCCACCCGAGACUCAGUGAAAUUGAACUCGCUGUGAAGAUGCAGUGUACCCGCGGCAAGACGGAAAGACCCCGUGAACCUUUACUAUAGCUUGACACUGAACAUUGAGCCUUGAUGUGUAGGAUAGGUGGGAGGCUUUGAAGUGUGGACGCCAGUCUGCAUGGAGCCGACCUUGAAAUACCACCCUUUAAUGUUUGAUGUUCUAACGUUGACCCGUGAUCCGGGUUGCGGACAGUGUCUGGUGGGUAGUUUGACUGGGGCGGUCUCCUCCUAAAGAGUAACGGAGGAGCACGAAGGUUGGCUAAUCCUGGUCGGACAUCAGGAGGUUAGUGCAAUGGCAUAAGCCAGCUUGACUGCGAGCGUGACGGCGCGAGCAGGUGCGAAAGCAGGUCAUAGUGAUCCGGUGGUUCUGAAUGGAAGGGCCAUCGCUCAACGGAUAAAAGGUACUCCGGGGAUAACAGGCUGAUACCGCCCAAGAGUUCAUAUCGACGGCGGUGUUUGGCACCUCGAUGUCGGCUCAUCACAUCCUGGGGCUGAAGUAGGUCCCAAGGGUAUGGCUGUUCGCCAUUUAAAGUGGUACGCGAGCUGGGUUUAGAACGUCGUGAGACAGUUCGGUCCCUAUCUGCCGUGGGCGCUGGAGAACUGAGGGGGGCUGCUCCUAGUACGAGAGGACCGGAGUGGACGCAUCACUGGUGUUCGGGUUGUCAUGCCAAUGGCACUGCCCGGUAGCUAAAUGCGGAAGAGAUAAGUGCUGAAAGCAUCUAAGCACGAAACUUGCCCCGAGAUGAGUUCUCCCUGACUCCUUGAGAGUCCUGAAGGAACGUUGAAGACGACGACGUUGAUAGGCCGGGUGUGUAAGCGCAGCGAUGCGUUGAGCUAACCGGUACUAAUGAACCGUGAGGCUUAACCUU
rnacentral:rRNA from 1 species